rnacentral:rRNA from 1 species
GAUGAACGCUGGCGGCGUGCCUAAUACAUGCAAGUCGAGCGAACAGACGAGGAGCUUGCUCCUCUGACGUUAGCGGCGGACGGGUGAGUAACACGUCGAUAACCUACCUAUAAGACUGGGAUAACUUCGGGAAACCGGAGCUAAUACCGGAUAAUAUAUUGAACCGCAUGGUUCAAUAGUGAAAGACGGUUUUGCUGUCACUUAUAGAUGGAUCCGCGCCGCAUUAGCUAGUUGGUAAGGUAACGGCUUACCAAGGCAACGAUGCGUAGCCGACCUGAGAGGGUGAUCGGCCACACUGGAACUGAGACACGGUCCAGACUCCUACGGGAGGCAGCAGUAGGGAAUCUUCCGCAAAGGGCGAAAGCCUGACGGAGCAACGCCGCGUGAGUGAUGAAGGUCUUCGGAUCGUAAAACUCUGUUAUUAGGGAAGAACAAAUGUGUAAGUAACUAUGCACGUCUUGACGGUACCUAAUCAGAAAGCCACGGCUAACUACGUG